UUCCAUUGGUUCUAAACUUCAAUUUUUCCAGUUUAUGGUUACUUGUAGCCCUUCUGUCUCAGUUUACUCUAAUUUUUUCCUUCCAGGUUGGAGGCCCAGUAAAGCUAUAAGUAUGAUGAAGAGAAAAUUGAGUUUUUUACUGGGGAAUCCAACUCUGAUGCUAAAAUAGCAUGGCCAGAAGCAUGUGGUGUGAAUAAGGUUUGCACUUGCAGGCGCUGUGAGGAGAAGGCUGAUGGGAAGGAUUGUUUAGUUUGCGAUUCAAUGUACCAUGUCUCCUGUGUUGAGCCAGCUGUUAAAGAGAUUCCUCCAAAAAGUUGGUAUUGUGUUAGCUGCGCUGCAAAAGGCAUUGGAUUGCCUCAUGAGAACUGUCUAGUGUGUGAGAGGCUGAAUGAUGAAAUUCUGGAUGCUUGUUUUUGACGGAAAAAAUUGAAACCUUAUGACCUAUCCUGUGAGAGUGCCGUCCUGAACUGAAAUCUCCUAAGCAAACAAGUGGAGCAGCUGAUGUGAAGAUGAAUUGCAAGUCUAGGCAAAAAUGGUUGUUGUUAUUCAGUGUUUAUCAAUUUGUUUGUAUUUAAAACUACUACAAUUUGUUUGAUUACUUUUAGCUGACACCUAGGAGUUCAUUUCUAUGUUGGCUUGAGGAAGUGGCAUAGGCUGAUAAGCUUAACUGCCAUUUCUAUUUCAUUCGUCUCCCAUUAAAUUUGGAAAAAAACUGAACUGUGUGAAUCUUUUGGAAUGAAA